GAAAAAUAAGUGUACUAAGAAAAGCAGAAAAUUUACAUGGUAGUUCUUAAUUCUUUUAUGGUCCUAUCAUGGUAAUUCGCUUUAACAAUAGCAUAUAUCUACUUGCUUCUCUUGAGGGCUCUUAAUUCAUCUAGCAAGGCAACUAUGUCAGAGUAAGAUGAUCCUCCUUCUUCAGUGGCCGUCCUUGCCAUUUCUUUUAGUGCCAUUGCUCGGCUUCUUAUUUCCUCAGCCUCUUCACUAGCCAUCAACCGAGUCAUUGCCUUCUCUAUGUCUUCUUUCUUCACUAGAAUUUUCUUCUCAUACUUAGACCAUUCUUGGGCACCAACUCGACAUCCUAUUUUCAGAAUAUCUACAAUCAGUUUUUCAUUAUCAAAUUGGUCUGCGCAGAGAGGCCAUGUGACCAUUGGCACCCCUGCGCACACUCCUUCCAAUGUAGAGUUCCAUCCACAAUGAGUCAUA
rnacentral:misc_RNA from 1 species